ACUUAAAUUGAAGAGUUUGAUCAUGGCUCAGAUUGAACGCUGGCGGCAGGCCUAACACAUGCAAGUCGAGCGGCAGCG
rnacentral:rRNA from 1 species